UACGUAGGGUGCGAGCGUUGUCCGGAAUUACUGGGCGUAAAGAGCUCGUAGGUGGUUUGUCGCGUUGUCCGUGAAAACUCACAACUCAAUUGUGGGCGUGCGGGCGAUACGGGCAGACUGGAGUACUGCAGGGGAGACUGGAAUUCCUGGUGUAGCGGUGGAAUGCGCAGAUAUCAAGGAGGAACACCGGUGGCGAAGGCGGGUCUCCUGGGCAGUGAACUGACGCUGAGGAGCGAAAGCGUGGGGAGCGAACAGG
rnacentral:rRNA from 1 species